CCUACGGGUGGCAGCAGUGGGGAAUAUUGGACAAUGGGCGAAAGCCUGAUCCAGCCAUGCCGCGUGUGUGAAGAAGGCCUUCGGGCUGUAAAGCACUUUCAGUGGGGAAGAAAGCCUUGGGGCUAAUACCCUCGAGGAAGGACAUCACCCACAGAAGAAGCACCGGCUAACUCCGUGCCAGCAGCCGCGGUAAUACGGAGGGUGCGAGCGUUAAUCGGAAUUACUGGGCGUAAAGCGCGCGUAGGCGGUCUGAUAAGCCGGUUGUGAAAGCCCCGGGCUCAACCUGGGAACGGCAUCCGGAACUGUCAGGCUAGAGUGCAGGAGAGGAAGGUAGAAUUCCCGGUGUAGCGGUGAAAUGCGUAGAGAUCGGGAGGAAUACCAGUGGCGAAGGCGGCCUUCUGGACUGACACUGACGCUGAGGUGCGAAAGCGUGGGUAGCAAACAGGAUUAGAUACCCUAGCAGUC
rnacentral:rRNA from 1 species